rnacentral:rRNA from 1 species
CGGCUCAGUAACACGUAGUCAACAUGCCCAGAGGACGUGGAUAACCUCGGGAAACUGAGGAUAAACCGCGAUAGGCCAUAAUUACUGGAAUGGGUUAUGGCUUAAACCUAUAUGGCCUCUGGAUUGGACUGCGGCCGAUCAGGCCGUUGGUGAGGUAAUGGCCCACCAAACCUGUUACCGGUACGGGCUCUGAGAGGAGGAGCCCGGAGAUGGGCACUGAGACAAGGGCCCACGCCCUAUGGGGCGCAGCAGGCGCGAAACCUCUGCAAUAGGCGAAAGCCUGACAGGGUUACUCUGAGUGAUUCCCGCUAAGGGGAU